rnacentral:rRNA from 1 species
GACGAACGCUGGCGGCGUGCCUAAUACAUGCAAGUAGAACGCUGAAGAGAGGAGCUUGCUCUUCUUGGAUGAGUUGCGAACGGGUGAGUAACGCGUAGGUAACCUGCCUUGUAGCGGGGGAUAACUAUUGGAAACGAUAGCUAAUACCGCAUAACAAUGGAUGACACAUGUCAUUUAUUUGAAAGGGGCAAUUGCUCCACUACAAGAUGGACCUGCGUUGUAUUAGCUAGUAGGUGGGGUAAUGGCUCACCUAGGCGACGAUACAUAGCCGACCUGAGAGGGUGAUCGGCCACACUGGGACUGAGACACGGCCCAGACUCCUACGGGAGGCAGCAGUAGGGAAUCUUCGGCAAUGGGGGCAACCCUGACCGAGCAACGCCGCGUGAGUGAAGAAGGUUUUCGGAUCGUAAAGCUCUGUUGUAAGUCAAGAACGGGUGUGAGAGUGGAAAGUUCACACUGUGACGGUAGCUUACCAGAAAGGGACGGCUAACUACGUG